GACGAACGCUGGCGGCGUGCUUAACACAUGCAAGUCGAACGGAAAGGCUCCAGCUUGCUGGAGUACUCGAGUGGCGAACGGGUGAGUAACACGUGGGUAAUCUGCCCUGCACUCUGGGAUAAGCCUGGGAAACUGGGUCUAAUACUGGAUAUGACCUUUCUCCUUAUGGGGUUUGGUGGAAAGUUUUUCGGUGUAGGAUGAGCCCGCGGCCUAUCAGCUUGUUGGUGGGGUGAUGGCCUACCAAGGCGACGACGGGUAGCCGGCCUGAGAGGGUGAUCGGCCACAUUGGGACUGCGAUAGGGCCCAGACUCCUACGGGAGGCAGCAGUGGGGAAUAUUGCACAAUGGGCGGAAGCCUGAUGCAGCGACGCCGCGUGAGGGAUGACGGCCUUCGGGUUGUAAACCUCUUUCAGCAGGGACGAAGCGUAAGUGACGGUACCUGCAGAAGAAGCACCGGCUAACUAUGUG
rnacentral:rRNA from 1 species